rnacentral:rRNA from 1 species
AGUGAACGCUGGCGGUAGGCCUAACACAUGCAAGUCGAACGGCAGCACAGUAAGAGCUUGCUCUUACGGGUGGCGAGUGGCGGACGGGUGAGGAAUACAUCGGCAUCUACUUUUUCGUGGGGGAUAACGUAGGGAAACUUACGCUAAUACCGCAUACGACCUACGGGUGAAAGCAGGGGAUCUUCGGACCUUGCGCGAUUGAAUUAGCCGAUGUCGGAUUAGCUAGUUGGCGGGGUAAAGGCCCACCAAGGCGACGAUCCGUAGCUGGUCUGAGAGGAUGAUCAGCCACACUGGAACUGAGACACGGUCCAGACUCCUACGGGAGGCAGCAGUGGGGAAUAUUGGACAAUGGGCGCAAGCCUGAUCCAGCCAUACCGCGUGGGUGAAGAAGGUCUUCGGGUUGUAAAGCCCUUUUGUUGGGAAAGAAAAGCAGCAGGUUAAUACCCCGCUGUUCUGACGGUACCCAAAGAAUAAGCACCGGCUAACUUCGUG